GGGGAUUUAGCUCAGCGGUAGAGCGCUCGCCUAGCAAGUGCAAGGCCCUGGGUUCGGUCCCCAGCUCCG
rnacentral:tRNA from 1 species